GUUCGACCGAGCACCACCAACCAGUUCGUCGCCGGCUUUCGCUGACUCGCACUCGCACCUUCAUCAACUUCCUCUCUCUCUCUCUCUCUCGGAGACGUUGCUGCGGAGGAGGCGAAGACGGAGUCGUCGAGAUUGAUUCCCGACGGCCCUCGCCAUUCGGACCGCGAAGUCGGAAACACGAAGCUCCUGCUUCGUUCUUCGUUCGCCGAGGUGGCUGCGCAACAUGAUUGACUUGGCCGUGGAGCAUGUUGAAGCGACAGUCGGGGAGGAAAAUGAGAGAACAUGCUGGGGUUGUGGACUUCGCGUUCUUUUACCAUCCAAUGCACCUAUUUUCAAGUGUGGUUGGUGUGGAGCCAUAACAAAUCAGCGCUCACGGAAACGAAAAGAUAAGUCCCUGUGGUGGAGACGCUGGCGUGACCGGUGCUUUGUUAGUGUUGUGUCUUUGUUUAUGCUCUUCAUUUUGGGUGGUGGAGUUUGGGCAGUUUACCCUGUUGUUUUCUCCAUCAGCUAUUUCUGUGGCAUCUUCCACUCCCUUGUAACUGCAAUAUUGGCAGUAAGUACCUUUACAACCUUUGGCCUUGCUGCAUUUCGCUGUGCAGGCAGGCCUCCAGACAUACAGUGGGGCAGCUAUCCAGUGGUGGGGAAGGGGGACCUUGAGGAUUAUACCUUCUGUCUUUAUUGUUGUAAGCCAAAGUCACCGAGAACUCAUCAUUGUCGUUCAUGUGGAAUGUGUAUAGACUACAUGGAUCAUCACUGCCCAUUUAUAGGGAAUUGUGUUGGAGCCACAAACCAUCGGCACUUUAUUAUCUUCCUUAUCUCAUCUCUACUCAGCACCAUGUACGUCGCUAUCAUAUGUUCUUAUGCAGGGUGGCAUAUCUGGCCACCACUGAGGUUUACAUCUCUUGCUCGUCCAUACGCAUUUGGCAAUGGUUCUGUUUUAAGAGUGGUCAGAGAACUAUCUCUUGCUUUGUUAAGUUCUGCUACGCUAUUAUCGGCAAGGGGCAUUAUUCUUGUGUACUUAAUUGUCUCUAGUCUCUCUGUUCAGAUAGGCCUCACUGUCCUUUUAUGGCAACAACUUUGUUAUAUCUAUGAAGGGGAAACAUAUUUAAGCCAUCUAAGUUCAGGGGCAGGUGGUCGGUCUGGGGAGAGAGAUUGUCAGAAUCUCGUGCGUUUUUUCGGUUGUCCCUAUGCUUUCUUGAGAUAUUUGCCGAUUAACCGAAGUUCUCGGAAGAGACAUAGAAAAUGAGAUGGAAUGUGAAAAAAAUAACUCACUCUCUUGUGUCUUGAUUGAUUCUUCUCAAAGCAGUGGCAGUUCCACUGGGGUACGUCAGCUUGUACCUCAUGAUCAUCAUCUGUUUUGUUGGCAAAACGAAUCCAUGAAUCUCAAGGAGAGACAAGACGAAUGAACAGCCCGUUUACAUAGUCCGCAACGGCGGUUAAAUGUAAUAAACUCGAGAUUAUAAGCACCGGAUUCUCAACGCGGUGACGGCAACAAGCAAUACCUUUCUUAGGGGGACGAUGGAGAACAAGCCGACGAAGCUGACGACAAAGAGGAAGCCUAUGAUCCAACCGAGCGAGAGCUUCUUCACGUUGGCCGGCGUGUUCCCUCCAUCUGCUUGCGCCGCUAUGUGCGCACUCAUUCCCAACAGAUAGGUCGCCGUCCCACCUGUUAUUGGUACUUCUUAGAAAGCGGGCAAUGCCACGAAUAUUAAAAAGACCAAAGUUUGCGAAUUUGGGGUUCGAUAAACAUUCUAUUUGCCACAUGAUCACGUAGGAAAACAAUUUUCUAGAUCAGUUUCAGGUUCGCGACGUUGCUGGAAACUAUUUGAGUAUUUCUCUUUCUUUGUAUUGUAUGGAAAGAUUUCUAGUUGAAGAAGUCUACAUGUUUGAAUACGAUAAAACGAAAAUAUAUUCUUUAGUGCAAUGAGAAAACAAGUUAAA